UCCGUAGGCGGUGUGGCAAGUCGGUAGUGAAACCUCUGGGCUUAACCCAGAGACUGCUGCCGAAACUGCUGUGCUAGAGUGUGAGAGAGGCGAGUGGAAUUACGGGUGUAGCGGUGAAAUGCGUAGAUAUCCGUAGGAACAUCCGAGGCGAAAGCGGCUCGCUGGAUCACAACUGACGCUGAGGGACGAAAGCUAGGGGAGCAAACAGGAUUAGAUACCCUGGUAGUCCUAGCCCUAAACCAUCAGGACUUGGGGUUUGCCCUGUACGGGGCAAGUCCCGUAGCUAACGCGUUAAGUCCUGCGCCUGGGGAGUACGGUCGCAAGGCUGAA
rnacentral:rRNA from 1 species